ensembl:snoRNA
UGUCCGAUUCCACUAUCACAGUUUCUCCCUGGAAGAGGUUUUAGUGGCCAUGCUUAUGGUAUAAAUUAAAGAUACCGUGAUCUAGAGAGAGGGCUCUUCAAUGUCCUCCUUGUAUAUGAAAUGGCCAGACAGUAAACC